GCCUUCGUGGUGUAGUGGUCAGCACGCUUGACGCGUAACCGAGAGAUCCGUGGUUCGAUUCCCGGCGAAGGCG
rnacentral:tRNA from 1 species